GACAACCACGAUUUAAGAUAUAUCUGUGAUUUACAGUAAAUCACAAUAUUGUGUGUUACGUUGUUUAAUGUCUAAUACAUAUUAUGUGAUGGCCGCAGACCUACUGAUUAGAUUGAGAGAAGUGGAGUUUCAUUUUAUGUCUGUGCUGUUGUCGGUUCGAUAGAUCGUUGUAGGCAGAUGUUGGUUCGAUAAAUAAUAAACAAUACGAGUACUCAAUUGUCGAACUACGACAGCGUACUUCACGGCGAUUUCAUUUGAUAUAUAGCAUUUGUGACAACAUUUCUGUGCAAGAGCGUAUUCGACUAUUCGAUUUGAUCCAUUUUCAGUAUUUUACAUUAUAUUUAAUUGCACUGUCGAGUGACAACAUUCGUGUGAACUCAGUGCCCACUUUUUUCACCACCGAUUUUGGAAGAGCUAAUACUGCCCAUUAGGUAAUUUUACUUCUCCACAAUGGUAUCGAAUUUUGUUUUCUCAUUCGUAGCACAUUUGGUAACACUUGAUAGAUCGUUAUAAUAUUAUAAUUAUAAUUUAUAAACAGUUUUAGCUUUAGAGUUAGAAUGUUCUGAUCUUACAAAGAUAUUUGUUAUUUUUUUUUUUAUCUGUCAUCAUCUUGCGGAGUAGUAAAAGUUCUUCGAUUUUCUACUUCAGCAUCCUUCCUGAUAUACAAUUAAAUUUAGUUGGUACUGUGUUGGGGGGGGGGGUAGAAAGUAAUAAAUGUGAUUUUAAGGUGUAAACAUAAAUGUAACAAAUUAUCAUAGACGUUAAACAUAUGGAUGCGGCAUAGUCUAUCUACACUUUGCAUAAGACUUGAUUACUUGUAGUCAACAUAAAGGGGAGCAUAGGCAAGGGGAAAUAAGUUUCUCACUCACACAGAAGUGCCCCCCUCCCCCCCAUAAGAUAAAGAAAUGGAAUGAUAAUUCACGCUAUCUAGUGUUUUAUCAUUCAUAUUAUCCAUCUUAACUUCACGAUUUUGGAUCAAUGCCGCAUUCCUAAGACGUAAUAAUAUAUUAAUAUUGAUAUGAUGAUGUACAUGUGAAAUUUAAAUAAAUCGUAAUAUAAGCUCUCAUAGAGACUUUUUUUUAACUAUUAGUGGUGAUAUAUUAAUAUUAAUACUGUUUUGUAGUAGGUGUUGAUUUGCUUACAUUCUUGAAAAUUACAUGACUUGAUUAAGAAGUUCACUAUCUGGUUUACCUUUGAUAAUACGGUGGUGUACAAGGGCACGGUAUAUUAUUGUAAUUUGUAAUAUCGCAUUCGUAAUAAUCUGUUGUUGGGUCACCUCGAUUAUGAUUAAAUUGAAUCAUGAUCCUGAUAUUAGAUCAUGCACUAUUGAUGUAGCUAUACGCAUAUAUGCUGUGCAUUAGAUUUGGUGCCAAAAUGACUGAAAAAGCUAGAGUCUUGCAUGCGCACAAACAGUCUGAGCUCUAAGAUCAUAUUGUAUUCAUUAUGGCAUCAAGAAUUAGGUUGGUGGCUACAUCUAUAGUACAUGACCUGAGAUCUUGAUCCACCGAGAUAGGUAAUAAUGUAUACCUCAGUACCCCGAUCAUAGGUAAUUAUUAUCUAUGAUCCCAGUAGGUGGUAGGUCACGUCCAGUUGCCUGGAAUACUUUAAUGAUGACACAAUGCACAAUAGCAUAUACUUUAGAUCAAUAUUACUUCACUACUCAGAACUAGCAAGUCCAUGAGCACUUAGAAUCAACGUCAGAUAAGUAGGUACCUGCAUCAAUUAUAUCGCCAGGUCCAUAUUUAGAUUCCAUCAUCCACGAUUAGUACCGGCAUCCGUCACUGAUUUGAAAUUAUGAUUAAUUAGUAUUCCAUAAUUACCUAAAGAAAAUUGUGGCCUGGAAAUUAUUUUCAAAUUACCUUAUAACUUUGUAGCAUCAACACUUAAAAACUGAAAUGACAUGCUUGACAUGCUGAAUUGAGGGGGCUGGAAUCCAUCUUAUUUUUAGAAGAAUGUUUGCCUAACCCUUAUAAUUUUAUAAGUACAUACCAAACAGUAAGACCUGCAAAUCUAUAACAGUUGGUUUAUGUAAAUAAUGCAUAUACUGAGUUUUUACUGGAUCCAUUAAUCUGUAUUGGUAUUUGCCAACUGACAAUGCUGUACAGAAUUGUUGUCAAUUUCUGAUGUAUGUAUUAAUAACAUUUUUGAUAAUUAGUUAAAGGUUUUGAGUUUAUUUAUUUAUUUUGUUCAAAAGUUAUUCAGCCUAUCUUCUGUUGACCUUGCUGUUUCAUUUGAGGAAAAAGUUAUUCCAAUGUUCAAUUGGCCUGAUACUUUGCCAAAUUGUUAAACAGAUGGUAUGACCCAGCA